rnacentral:rRNA from 1 species
AUUCCAGCUCCAGUAGCGUAUAUUAAAGUUGUUGCAGUUAAAAAGCUCGUAGUUGGAUUUCUGAUAGUAGCGUUGGGCCCGCCCGGGUUACCGGUGUGAGUGCCUGUUCGCUCCUUUCAUCCUUCUAGAGAACGGUUCUCUCCUUCAUUGGCAGUGGGAUCGCAAUCUAGAUCUUUUACUUUGAAAAAAUUAGAGUGUUUAAAGCAGGCUUGUGCUAUGAAUACAUUAGCAUGGAAUAAUAAUUUAGGACUUUAGUUCUAUUUUGUUGGUUUCUAGAACUGAAGUAAUGAUUGAUAGGGAUAGUUGGGGGACAUUCAUAUUGCAUGGCUAGAGGUGAAAUUCUUGGAUUCAUGCAAGAUGAACUACUGCGAAAGCAUUUGUCAAAGAUGUUCUCAUCA